rnacentral:misc_RNA from 1 species
GGCAAUUUUAGUGGCUUGGACCCUUGCUCGGGGCAAAAACAAGUGUCGAAGAAGGGCACUAAAAUUAUGCUUAUAAUUUUACUCCCUGUUUCAGUAACUGGUGCUCUUUUAUGUAUGUUGGUUGUUCUGCUCUUCAGGUUCCAAGCAAGGAAGAGAGGUUCAAAGAGAGAAGUUGAAAUGAAUAGUGAAGGGUUGCUUGCCACAUCAAUUUUUGAUGGAAAAACAUUGUACAAGGAAAUCAUACAAGCAACCAGGAAUUUUCAUGAUAUGCACUGCAUUGGAGAGGGUGGAUUUGGAAAGGUCUAUAAAGCUGAGUUACCAUCAGGAAAUACUUUAGCUGUGAAGAAAUUCCAUUCACUGAAUCAAGGUGAGACAGCAGAUCAGAAAGAGUUUCUGAAUGAGAUAAGAGCAUUAACAGAGAUAAGACAUCGAAAUAUCGUGAAGUUCUACGGCUUUUGCUCGCAUCUAAGACACUCGUUUUUGGUCUAUGAGUACCUGCAGAUGGGCAAUCUGGACACUGUGCUAAGUAAUGAAGAAGCUUCAAGAGAAUUGGAUUGGAAUAAAAGGUUGAAUGUCAUAAAAGGUGUGGCAAAUGCCUUGUCAUACAUGCACCAUGAAUGCUUGACACCAAUUAUUCACAGAGACAUAUCAAGCAAGAAUGUUCUG